rnacentral:rRNA from 1 species
CUCGAGGACGAACGCUGGCGGCGUGCUUAACACAUGCAAGUCGAACGAGAGGACGAGAGAAGCUUGCUCUUUGGAAUCGAGUGGCAAACGGGUGAGUAACACGUAAACAACCUGCCUUCAGGAUGGGGACAACAGACGGAAACGACUGCUAAUACCGAAUACGCUUGGGAGACCGCAUGAUCUUCCAAGGAAAGGGUGGCCUCUACUUGUAAGCUAUCGCCUGAAGAGGGGUUUGCGUCUGAUUAGCUGGUUGGUGAGGUAACGGCCCACCAAGGCGACGAUCAGUAGCCGGCCUGAGAGGGUGAACGGCCACAUUGGGACUGAGACACGGCCCAAACUCCUACGGGAGGCAGCAGUGGGGAAUAUUGGGCAAUGGGCGCAAGCCUGACCCAGCAACGCCGCGUGAAGGAAGAAGGCUUUAGGGUUGUAAACUUCUUUUGUCAGGGACGAGUAGAAGACGGUACCUGACGAAUAAGCCACGGCUAACUACGUG